rnacentral:lncRNA from 1 species
AGCACACAUACAUGUGCACAGAAGACAGCAGGAUUAGGCAAAGAGGUGUGACAUGGGAGAGGCAUUUGUUGAUGAGUACCAACAGGGGCCUACCCACACAGUAUUUGCUUUCACGGUGGAAGGAAGAAACAUUUUCCUAUUAUUUGUAUGAAGAAAGCAAUGUUGAACCCUCUGCCCACACAGCUGACCUACUUAAAUACUAAUUGUUAUCUUUAAGGUAUGUCUUGUUUUUCAUCAUUGAUGGUUUGGAUGUUACCUGUUGAAGUUUAAUCAACUCGAUGUAACGCUCAUGUUACAUAAGCUAAUUAUACAAGCAUAGAAAU